CUAUAAGGCUAGAACUAUAUGUACCAUGACUAAUUGGAUAUAAUCUUCAUCACACCUCAACUGGUAAGCUAGUGAUGCUGUUCUCCAGUCCUAACCAUGCUUAAGCAUCUGGUACAGAAAGUUUUUUAUUUCUGCAUGCAAGGCACACUCUUCUGAUUUUUUGCUACUAGAAGAUAUAAACAGUUCAGAUGCUACAUACGACUAGUGUCUAUUACGAUUAUUAGGAUUACUGUCACAAUUGUUCAGCCCUUCUUCUGCGCAUCCGAGCUCCCCAGGAUAGGUUCUCUUCUGAAUCCUUAACGGUGCUCCUCUUCUUCAGCUCAGCAAUUUGGCCUUCCCAAGAUGUCCUCCAUCCAGACAUUUCUUCCUGCUCCUGUGGUAUGGUUCACACAGAGAACAAGUUAGUUUUGGAAACAAAGAAAGCUCUACAUAUGUACUAUAUUUCGGAGUCAAAAGGAGCGUACAAACAACGGUUGACAACUGCCAUAGACAUUGCCAAAUCAGCAUCAUGAUAAAUGAUAUGAAAUUAGAUAUCACCAAACGCAGUCCAGUCCUGCUAUUUUCAUCCUUACACGUAAGACAUCACUUCUAAAAAAAAUCAAUUGCUCAUAUAAUCUUAGGUAUGCAUGAGGUACAUGAAAACGACCCCUGUUGUUUUGAAGAAUAUACUGCUCAAUCAUCACGGUGCCACACAUGCAUAUAUGUUUUGCAUUAGAUGGAUUCAUAUUCGUAUGCAUCUCAUGUAAGGGGAUAGUUUUUGUAUUUUUCUAGUGUAUGUUUGUCAGCAAAAGGUGAUAUAUCAAGCAUAUGGAGAAGUUAAAGAUGGAAAGUCAAGCACAAGGAUAUUGGAUCAUAAACUUGGAGAUCUCCAUUCAAGUUUUGUUCCCUAGGCGUCAAAUACUUUCCAACUAUUUAAUCAGCCAUCUUAAGGCAGACUGGACGCAUUAGAUGUUAAAUCGUGAGUAUAGAAGUGUCUAAUUGAAUAGGCCAGACCAGCACAGCACAACACAGCACAGAGUUGUUAAGGUAUUUUUGUUAAAAAAAGCUUGGUAUUGAAGAUUAUAGGCUAAAAUGUUUCAAGGGUAUUACCAUAGUACACAAGCUAAAUCCUCUAGCACACAAAACUAAAGAUGAGACGUG
rnacentral:lncRNA from 1 species